GUCAUGUUUGCGACCAGCUGUGACAGUGCAACUAACUUAAGACUCAAAACUCAUUACUAGAUGUCGCCAGUGUCGCUAUUGUUGUUUCUACGUCGUGAAAAGAGGCGAAAUGGGCGAAACUAAUUGUUGCUAAUUUAUGCUUAUAUUCCUGUGAUUUCAUAUACCAAAUUGAGCUUUGUAUAUUAUAUGCAUACUGUCAGUCCAUGAGCAUGAGCACUGUCAGUCAUUCCAACAAGUUUACUUAGCGCUCAGUCACUUUCCCUUCAUUACAUCCUCAUGCUGUCUAAAGCUUAAAACUCAUGUGUGAAGCCCAUAUAUCGUGGAAUACAAAUGUGUGGAGACAAGGUAUUUCCCCAUUACUGCUACCACACCAACCACACCACGUCAUG